rnacentral:misc_RNA from 1 species
UCCGAGUUGUCCCCGGCAGUCCUCUUAGAGUCCCCGGCAUUACCCGCCGGCAACUAAGAGCAGGGGUUGCGCUCGUUGCGGCACUUAAGCCAACACCUCACGACACGAGCUGACGACAGCCAUGCACCACCUGUGACAGUGCCCCGAAGGGAGACCGUGUUUCCACGGCUGUCACUGCCAUGUCAAGCCCAGGUAAGGUUCUUCGCGUUGCGUCGAAUUAAACCACAUGCUCCGCUGCUUGUGCGGGCCCCCGUCAAUUCCUUUGAGUUUCACCCUUGCGGGCGUACUCCCCAGGUGGAUCACUUAACGGUUUCCCUAAGACGCCGACAGUAUGUCGCCGACAUCGAGUGAUCAUCGUUUACGGCGUGGACUAC